GGUGGGUUUAAUAAUGGGGGUUUGCCUAGAAGGAUAUCAUGGGGGGCAAGAGGAGGGAGCAGAGGGAGAGAGAACGGAGGUGGCGGUGGAGGAGGAGGACGCGGUGGUUGGCUUGAUUUGGGUCGGGCUUUAAGGCAUUGGUUUACUUGUUUUAGUGGUGGAGUUGCUGGAGAGGGCUCAAAUUCAGAUUCAAGAAUUAGGAGGGGAAGGAGCAGGUCUUUUUGGCUUUUUAAUAACACGGCUUCUUCAAGGAGGAGAAGGAGAAGGUGAAAGCUGAAAACUUU
rnacentral:misc_RNA from 1 species